rnacentral:rRNA from 1 species
GGAAUAUUGGACAAUGGGCGAGAGCCUGAUCCAGCCAUGCCGCGUGCAGGAAGACGGUCCUAUGGAUUGUAAACUGCUUUUAUACGGGAAGAAACACCCCCUCGUGAGGGGGCUUGACGGUACCGUAAGAAUCAGGCUCGGCGAACACUGUGCCAGCAGCCGCGGUAAUACGGAGGAUCCAAGGGUUAUCCGUAAUAAUUGGGUUUAAAGGGUCCGUAGGUGGAUAAUUAAGUCAGAGGUGAAAUCCUGCAGCUCAACUGUAGAAUUGCCUUUGAUACUGGUUAUCUUGAAUUAUUAUGAAGUAGUUAGAAUAUGUAGUGUAGCGGUGAAAUGCAUAGAUAUUACAUAGAAUACCAAUUGCGAAGGCAGAUUACUAAUAAUGGAUUGACACUGAUGGACGAAAGCGUGGGGAGCGAAC